GCGCCUGUAGCUCAAUCGGAUAGAGCAACGGCCUUCUAAGCCGUAGGUUACAGGUUCGAUUCCUGUCAGGCGCACCA
rnacentral:tRNA from 1 species